CCUACGGGAGGCAGCAGUGAGGAAUAUUGGUCAAUGGACGAGAGUCUGAACCAGCCAAGUAGCGUGAAGGAUGACUGCCCUAUGGGUUUUAAACUUCUUUUAUAAAGGAAUAAAACGAGGCACGUGUGCCCUUUUGCAUGUACUUUAUGAACAAGGAUCGGCUAACUCCGUGCCAGCAGCCGCGGUAAUACGGAGGAUACGAGCGUUAUCCGGAUUUAUUGGGUUUAAAGGGAGCGUAGAUGGGUUGUUAAGUCAGGUGUGAAAGUGUGCGGCUCAACCGUAAAAUUGCAUUUGAUACUGGCAGGCUGGAGUGCAGUUGAGGUAGGCGGAAUUCGUGGUGUAGCGGUGAAAUGCUUAGAUAUCACGAAGAACCCCGAUGGCGAAGGCAGCUUACUAAACUGUGACUGACGUUGAUGCUCGAAAGUGUGGGUAUCAAACAGGAUUAGAUACCCUAGUAGUC
rnacentral:rRNA from 1 species